CCCUUUUGUUGAAGAUCCAAACCUCAUCUCAUCACAGAUCCAGCCCCCUUGAUAUAUGGAGGGGUCAGUUCAGGGCCUGUCAAUUCUACCCACUUGUGAAAAAUGUUUGUAGAGGACGCAAUCCAUUAUAUCAAAAACAACUGCAACGUUAUUACUGAGGUUAAAGAAUUAAGUUUCAUUUUCCUCAUUCUUAAAUUGGGUAUUAUUCUUUUGAUAUCUGUAGAGAAAAGAGUGACUUGGUCAGUCAGGAUUUAAAGAUUUCGGUAAAUUUGGUACCUAGGAUUACGAUGUAUAACUGUGUUGUGGGUACACCAUCUCUCUCUACUGACAUAUCUCUUUAGCACCAACCAAUCCUAAUAUCUCUUGUAUUCAUUAUAAUACCCUUUUGAUGAGCUUGAAACCUCUCUCUUCUCUCUUUUUCAGUAUUUAUACCCUUCAAAACUCCUCAAAACUCAUAUCACCUUUCUCUUGAGUCUUUACUCUCUUCCUCUUCUUCACAGUUGUUUUUGCUUAUAAUUGGCUCCUUUUUUGUUUUCAUUUUUAUUUUUCUCUUUCCUUCUUUCUCCAUAUUCUUUUUCUCCAAUCCAAUCCUUUUGAGUCUUUGGUACUUGUCAGUUUAUGCAACAGAGAAUAAUCGUAUAGUAUUAGAAUAGCCUUUUUUUAACCAAGUGGGUCUUUCUUAUUUCACAUAUCUAGACAUGGGAUUUGAGCUUUUGAAGCUAUUAUUUUUUCUCUAAUGUGUUAUAAAAACUGUCCACCGAUUUGCUUUUAAUUGUUUGCCUUUACUUUUGUUUCAUGAAAUGAGAUUUAGGGUUAGGGUUAGGGUUGCGCCAUUGUUUACACAAAAAUUCAAGAAAUGUAAUUUGCUAUUAGCAAAGCCAAGUCUUUCCCUUUUCCAUCAUCUCUUUGUGUCUGCAUGGAGAGAUGAUGAUUAUUAUUACUACCAAGAUCUAAAAGCAAAGAGGAAAACCAUUACACCAGUCACUGUUUGCUGAUGGAGCAUCAUCAAGAUUCACAAACUUUAUCUAGGGCUAGUGGGUUGUUGUGGUCCCUUUUCUUUUUCUUUUUUUCUUUUUCUCUUGCUUCAAUCCAAUAGUCCCUUUGAUAUGGGAAUCUUGAUGAUGCUGCAGCGGCAAUAAAUGGCUAAUUUUAUCUCCAUUUCUAAACAGUACUAUGGGCCUAAGGUGAUCCAUUUUGAUAUUAACUUCUCAAAGAUGAAGUUUUAAGUGCUCGCUUUUGCUCUGACUGGCUUUUUUCAGGAGGUUUUUGUACUGCCACCGCCUGGUCUCAGUAGGUAUGUCUGCCUUUUGGUUAAAUUCUGUACCAUUACAAAUCAUGGAGUCUCCUUUAUUUUUUUUGGAUUCUUGGGUUUCUUUGCUUCUUUUUCUGGAUUUGUUUCUCUUUAGAUCUUGAUCAUAAUCUUGGACACUUUAUUGUUUAUGCAAGGUCUCAGAUCAGUGACACAAGCUCCUUGUUUUGUGCCUUUCUUUUUCUUGGUGGGGAAGUGGUAUUUGAUGUUUUUGGAAUAUGUAACAAAGUCUCAUUUACAAUCAUUUUGCUGCUGUUGUACAUUAGUAAUUAUGGAGGUUUGCUU